rnacentral:misc_RNA from 1 species
AAUCCCCCAGACACAGAUAUAAUGAAGAAGCCUCCCAGAAAGAGUGAUGACUCGUUAAUAACACCUUGGAUUUUAUUCCGCUACCUGGUAAUUGGAUUUUAUGUUGGUUUGGCAACAGUAGGUGUGUUCAUCAUAUGGUACACGCACCACACAUUCUUGUUCAUUGACCUGAGUGGUGAUGGUCAUAGCAUUGUCACCUACUCCCAGCUUGCCAACUGGGAUCAGUGUAGUACCUGGGAAGGCUUUUCAGUGUCACCCUUCAAAGCAGGGUCGCAAGUGUUUACCUUUGACAAUCCAUGCGACUACUUCCGAGGUGGAAAAAUAAAGGCUUCAACUCUCUCCCUCUCUGUGUUGGUUGCCAUUGAGAUGUUCAAUUCCCUGAAUGCUCUCUCAGAGGAUGGUAGCCUCCUGACAAUGCCUCCGUGGGUGAAUCCAUGGCUCCUUCUGGCAAUGUUCGUGUCAUUUGGGUUGCACUUUUUGAUCCUGUACGUACCAUUCCUGGCUCAAGUAUUCGGGAUUGUUCCACUCAGCCUGAACGAAUGGCUUCUGGUACUGGCUGUUGCAUUCCCUGUUAUUCUAAUAGACGAGGUUCUCAAGUUUGUGGGAAGGUGUACGAGUGGGAUGCGGUAUUCUGGAUCAAGCAGACAUUCGAAGUAUAAGGCAGAGUGAG